UACGAAGGGGGCAAGCGUUGUUCGGAUUUACUGGGCGUAAAGGGCGCGUAGGCGGAAUGACAAGUCAGAGGUGAAAGCCCUGGGCUCAACCCGGGAAUUGCCUUUGGGAUUGUCGUGCUAGAGUUCGGAAGAGGAUGGCGGAAUACCCAGUGUAGAGGUGAAAUUCGUAGAGAUUGGGGAGAACACCGGUGGCGAAGGCGGCCAUCUGGUCCGACACUGACGCUGAGGCGCGAAAGAGUGGGGAGCAAACAGG
rnacentral:rRNA from 1 species